rnacentral:lncRNA from 1 species
CUUCUUUCUGGGCAGGCAAAUUCAUCUAGUGUCUCUUCUACACACUGCAUAAUUAGAACAACUCUGAAGUAUCAUUUCUCAGGUUGUCUGUAAAGAGCAGGAUUUUACAUUAUAAGCCUUACCCAAAUAAUAGGCAUUGUAAAGGAGGAAAGAACACCCUGCGUAGGAAGACCUGCUACAUGGAGGCAGACUGAAUUGCUAUAUACCUCCAGCAGCAGACAAUUAUAGAUGCUCACAGAAGUCAGUAAAUCACAUUCUGCUUAGAAAACCACUCUGGAGAUAUGACAAGAGGAUUGAAGUUGAGCUGGCACAGCUUCACUUCUGCUCAAACCUUCUCUAUGAAAACCUAAUAUACACUAAAACAAAUGGAACCUGCAGACUUAUUGGCAAAAUGAAAGAAAAAAGGAGACAAAUGAUGAAAUAUCAAAAAGUUGUAUAAACUUUGCUCAGCACUGAUUGUUCCACAUCUGAAGUACCAGGUUUAGUUCUGGGACCUCAAGUAUGAGAGACACUGACAUACUGGAGAAAGUCCAAGAGAAGGUCAGUGUGAUGAUAUAGGGACUGGAACAUCUCUUUUUUGAGGAGAGGCUGAGAGAGCUGUGACCACUG